GAGGUACGGAGGAGAUAUGGAGGAGAUAUGGAGGAGGAGGUACAGAUGAGGAGGAGAUAUGGAGGAGGAGAUAUGGAGGAGAUAUGGAGGAGGAGGUACGGAGGAGAUAUGGAGGAGAUAUGGAGGAGGAGGUACAGAUGAGGAGGAGGUAUGGAGGAGGUACGGAGGAGGUAUAGAGAAGAUAUGGAGGAGGUACAGAGGAGAUAUGGAGAUAUGGAGGAGGUAUGGAGGGGGUACAGAGGAGAUACGGAGGAGAUAUGGAGGAGGUACAGAGGAGAUACGGAGGAGGAGGAGGUAUGGAGGAGGCGGAGGUAUGGAGGAGAUAUGGAGGAGGAGAUAUGGAGGAGGAGGUACGGAGGAGGUACAGAGAAGAUAUGGAGGAGGAGGUACAGAUGAGGAGGAGGUAUGGAGGAGGUAUGGAGGAGAUACAGAGAAGAUAUGGAGGAGGAGGUACAGAGGAGGAGGUAUGGAGGAGAUAUGGAGGAGGAGGUACGGAGGAGAUAUGGAGGAGAUAUGGAGGAGAUAUGGAGGAGAUACGGAGGAGGUAUGGAAGAGGAGAGAUGGAGGAGGAGGUAUGGAAGAGGAGGAGGAGGUAUAGAGGAGGUAUGGAGGAGGAGAUACGGAGGAGAUAUGGAGGAGGAGGUAUGGAGGAGGAGGAGGUAUGGAGGAGGUACGAGGAGAAAUGGAGGAGGAGAGAUGGAGGAGGAGGAGGUAUAGAGGAGGAGGUACGGAGGAAAUACAAAGGAGUAGGAGGUAUGGAGGAGGUACAGAGGAGAAAUGGAGGCGGAGGUAUGGAGGAGGUACAGAGAAGAUAUGGAGGAGGAGAUAUGGAGGUACAGAGAAGGAGGAGGUAUGGAGGAGGUACAGAGGAGGAGGAGGUAUGGAGGAGGUACGGAGGAGGAGGAGGUAUGGAGGAGGUACAGAGGAGGAGGAGGUGUGGAGGAGGUACGGAGGAGAAAUGGAGGAGGAGGUAUGGAGGAGGUAUGGAGGAGGAGGUACGGAGGAGGUACAGAGGAGGAGGAGGUAUGGAGGAGGAGGUAUGGAGGAGGAGGUAUGGAGGAGGAGGAUGCAUGGAGGAGGUGCAGAGGAGGAGGAGGUAUAGAGGAGGUAUGGAGGAGAAAUGGAGGAGGAGGUACAGAGAAGAUAUGGAGGAGGAGAUAUGGAGGAGUAUGGAGGAGGUACAGAGAAGGAGGAGGUAUGGAGGAGGUACAGAUGAGGAGGAGGUAUGAAGGAGGUAUGGAGGAGGUAUGGAGGAGGUACAGAGAAGAUAUAGAGGAGGAGAUAUGGAGGAGGUAUGGAGGAGAUAUAGAGGAGAUAUAGAGGAGGAGAUAUGGAGGAGGUAUGGAGGAGAUAUAGAGGAGAUAUAGAGGAGGAGGUACGGGGGAGGUAGAGGAGGAGGAGGAAUGGAGGAGAAGAUAUGGAGGAGGAGGUAUGGAGGAGAUAUAGAGGAGGAGGUACGGAGGAGGAGGUACAGAGGAGGAGUUAUGGAGGAGAUAAGGAGGAGAUAUGGAGGAGGUAAAGAGGAGAUAUGGAGGAGGUAUGGAGGAGGAGGUAGGGAGGAGGUAGGGAGGAGGAGACAUAGAGGUUUGGAGGAGGUUUGGAGGAGAUAUGGAGGAGGAGGUACGGAGGAGGUACAGAGGAGGAGAAAUGGACGAGGAGAAAUGAGGAGGAGGUAUGGAGGAGGUACGGAGGAGAAAUGGAGGAGGAGAUACGGAGGAGGUAUGGAGGAGGUACGGAGGAGAUAGGGAGGAGACAUAGAGGAGGUUUGGAGGAGGAGAUACGGAGGAGGAGGUACGGAGGAGGAAUGGAGGAGGUACGGAGGAGGAAGGUCAUGGCUGGUCAUGGCUCACAUCAACACCAUCAUGCCGGAAACCCUAGAUCCACUCCAAUUCGCAUACCACCCAAACAGAUCCACAGAUGAUGCAAUGUCUACUGCACUCCCCACUGCCCUUUCCCACCUGGACAAAAGGAACAUCUAUGUGAGAAUGCUGUUCAUUGACUACAGCUCAGCGUUCAACACCAUAGUGCCCUCCAAACUCAUCACUAAGCUAAGGACCCUGGGACUAAACACCUCCCUCUGCAACUGGAACCUGGACUUCCUGACGGGCCGCCCCCAGGUGGUGAGCUAGCUAGCAGAACAGGUACCACUCCUCCUCCUCCUCCUCCUCCAUAAACACAGAGGGGUGGUGAGGAGAGGACCAGCUAGCUAGCAGAACAGGUACCACUCCUCCUCCUCCUCCUCCAUAAACACAGAGGGGUGGUGAGGAGAGGACCAGCUAGCUAGCAGAACAGGUACCACUCCUCCUCCUCCUCCUCCUCCAUAAACACAGAGGGGUGGUGAGGAGAGGACCAGCUAGCUAGCAGAACAGGUACCACUCCUCCUCCUCCUCCUCCAUAAACACAGAGGGGUGGUGAGGAGAGGACCAGCUAGCUAGCAGAAC
rnacentral:lncRNA from 1 species